ACACGGCUGCUGACGUCACUAUCAUAUAGUUGUGAGCUUUUUGGCAGGUAUGGGAAACACCUUCCAGCCCUAAGGCCGGGAAUUCAAUAAAUGUCACCUCGCUUUUUUAGCAAAAUCACCUCGGGCCUAACGGCCCAAUCAUCCCGGCCCCGGGCAGGAAUAUAUUUUCUCGAAAUUGCAUCAGUUUCCGUUUGUACGUUUAUAAUUGUACCAAGCGAAAUGAAUGAGCUGCAUUGAACACAGACAAGAGUCGUGAACAAGAGACAAACGACAAUUUUGGACGAGGGACAAACGAAGAUCGCUGACCAGAGACGGACGGCCACUGGCAGACAGAGACUGUGCUGUGAGAACGGUACGGAACCGAUGUGCGGAGACGAAAUACAGUAUUGUUCAGGCAGUCCGGACAAAACAACGGAGAGACGGGCUGUGAUCUCUGUACAGAACGUCGUCAUAUCCGAAGCUCAGCGGAGAGCCGGAACGUCGUGCCGCAGAUAGUCGGCUUUCGUCAUACAUCCACGGAAAUGCAAAGCAAAUACGAACAAGACCGCUAAAGCUUCGCAUUCAGGGUACCAAAGUGGUGCAGAAUGCAAAAAGAAGACUAUCAAGUAUGAUUGAGAUUCAUAGACAUCCCCAACGAAAAAGUGACAGCAUGCCACCACCGCGGCGUGGCCGUCUACCGGCCGGCCAGCAGCCCGCUGCCCCGUCUCCGGCACCCUCCGUCCCUGUCCGCUGAGAGCCCCGGUGUCGCGGCCCUGCCGUCAUCCAUCGUCCGCCCGACCCCCGAGAGGCGCGGUGACACUGCACUCAGCCGGGCCAUCCAUCCGGCCCGGCGGACCGCCGACUUAACUCGGCGCAACAACCCGGACGCUAAGUACCGCGUCUCCAUCUCGGAGAAGAGCGGGUGCGGCUCCAGACCACUGCCCUCCGCAUCCUCCUCGCCCAGGAUGAACUGGACACGCUGUGACGGCGGAGUGACUGCAGGUGUAGGGACUUCAGCGGCCAGUAUGGGGAUGAAGAAGGUGGCCCCGUGAAGCAGCUGAGAGUAAUUGGUAACGUUCGACCGACGUCGGCUGGUAACGUUCGACCGACGUCGGCUGGUAACGCUCGACCGAGGCCACUGGUAACGCUCAACUGAAAACGGCCGGUGAUAAUCGACCGGGCGUUCGACCAAGACAGCCGAUCUUGUUCAGCUGGUCUUGGUAAUGCUCGAAACGGACUGACUGACUGGUUAUAUUCGACCAGGAAUAACUGGUAAUGAUCGACCGGGACCAACUGGUAAUACUCGUCCGAUAACGACGACCAUUACCGACCGGUAACUCUGUCCUGGGACCGGCCGGGCGGCAGCCGCACGUGCGGCGCCCUGUCAGGUCACACAGUCCCCAGUCCGGUGACAGCCGACAGGCCGACAUGUCAUGACACACGUGAGCACCACGUGGCAUGGAGGAAAACUGGGACGGGCAGCGGGGCUGUCAGCCCGUCCCGUGCGAUGUGGCCCGAGCCAUAAAUCCGUGGGAACUAUGGAAAUCGCUCCAUCCUUGCAUGUAGGCUUUUUAAACUAUCAUGGAGUUAUAUAGAGGUAAAAAAUCUGUCGUUUCGCUGGUU
rnacentral:lncRNA from 1 species